AUUCUCUUUGGUCGCGAGACCAUGCUUUUUCCAGGUUUACUCUGAGCGUUUCCUUUCCCUCUUUUGGGAUAAAUAACGCACGGUGGCGGCUCUGUUGUUCUUGUUUUCCCGCCGGUUUUUCGCGUGAUGCGACAGAAAGCUUCGGACUUCUCUGAUGGUUUUUGGUGGUUUUAGGUUUUCUAUAACUUCUAUUUUAGCUUUAUCUAUCUCUAUACCUUUUUC
rnacentral:lncRNA from 1 species